UUCUUUUAUUAAUCAUCUGUCUUGCUGGGCUGGAAAGUCAGGGACAAGACUGUGGAAGUAAAAAUGGUAACAAAAUAUGCUGCAGUGGUUUUUGGUACGAGCAAAAAACUAACCAAUGUUUACAAUGUCCAAACGGAUACUAUGGUGAUAACUGCUCAGAUGUCUGUCCAUACCCCUUUUUUGGAGAGCUCUGCACGCAAACAUGUAACUGUUCGGUACACUUAUGUCAUGUAGUUUGAGGAUGCUUUACCGAAAGCUCAGAACCUCCGGUGUUACAUGCUGCAGUAAUUACUGGUACAAUAAAGAGAGUCAUGAAUGUGUUGAAUGUAAUCCAGGAUACUUUGGUACAAAUUGUAUGGAAAUAUGUCCUUUCCCAUUUUAUGGCAUACUGUGUAAACAGAGUUGCAACUGUUCGGAGGGUGACUGUAAUUAUGAGACAGGAUGUACAUUACCAGAUGCCAAACCUAACGAAAACAUCACACAAGUACACUCACGUGGCGGCAAAAUCAAUGAUUUAGGACAACAUCGUAUUUAUUUUCGCAUUGGCGCAAUUGGUAUUAUAGUUUUUCUAACAGUUUUUGUUAUACUCUUCGCUAUUAUCGAAUUUUACCUAAGGAGACGAGGACGUUCGGAUGAACAAAUUACUUGUGCUGAAAAUGAAGCAACAUAUCAGGAGAUAACAUUACAAUAAAAAAAUGGGGGUCUUUUACUCCCAGUACAUAUCCACUCUCUACAUGAACCAUCACAUAACCCACCAGGGAUAUUUAUGAAUAAACAAAAUGAGAGCACUGAACUGCAGACGUAUAAUUAUGAAUCAUCACCAAAAUGAAAAUAUUUAAUGGACAAAGAUGUGUACUUCAUAUUUUAUAAACAGUUCAGCGAAAACGUCAAUUGUCAAACAUUUACAAUAUACGCUCUGAAAACUGGAAUCUCAGAAAAAACGAAAUUCACUAGGAAGUAGAAGAAAAAAACAUGAUCAUUGGAAGAAAAAAUCAAUAUGUAUCAAUAACCAUUUUGACUGAGGCUCGGACUUCCAAAGUAUUGAAACUUGUUGUAGUGGAUGCCUUUAAAAGAAAUAAGGAACAGUACACGAAACAUGACUAUGUAGAAUUUAAUUUUAAAAGAAACAAAUAUCAUGUUAUUAUUGAAUAGAUUCUGUUGAUGAGUAAUCAAUACAGUUAUGUUAUUUUUAAUUUAAGUCA